rnacentral:rRNA from 1 species
GAUGAACGCUGGCGGCGUGCCUAAUACAUGCAAGUCGAGCGAACGGACGAGAAGCUUGCUUCUCUGAUGUUAGCGGCGGACGGGUGAGUAACACGUGGAUAACCUACCUAUAAGACUGGGAUAACUUCGGGAAACCGGAGCUAAUACCGGAUAAUAUUUUGAACCGCAUGGUUCAAAAGUGAAAGACGGUCUUGCUGUCACUUAUAGAUGGAUCCGCGCUGCAUUAGCUAGUUGGUAAGGUAACGGCUUACCAAGGCAACGAUGCAUAGCCGACCUGAGAGGGGGGUCGGGCCAACUGGAACUGAGAAACGGUCCCGACUCCUAAGGGAGGGCAGAGUAGGGAAACUUCCCCAAUGGGGGAAAGCCCGACGGGACAAAGCCGCGUGGGUGGUGGAGGUCUUCGGAUCGGAAAACUCUGUUUUUUGGGAAAAACAAAUGUGUAAGUAACUAGGCACCUCUUGACGGUAACUAAUCAGAAAGCCACGGCUAACUACGUG